CGUGGGUCUGUGGCCUUCGGCCCGGUGGAGAAAGGCGAUGGGAACAGGAGGGAACAGGUGGGAGGAGGGGUACAAACCUAACAUCACUGUUGCAGAAAAAAGCUGGCUGUCCCGCUUCUCUUCCAGUCCCUGGGCCAAGGCUUCUUCUCGGGGCCUUCCUUCCUUCCUCUCCCUGGGGAUGGCAGCGUCGCCCUGGUUAUCUGGACCUGCAAAACCAACUCCACCUAAUUCUAGAUGCUCUGGCCCCGCACCUGGGCCUGAGGCUGUCCUGCCUGUCUAGCCAGCUCCAGCCCAAAUAACCGGCCCCUCCCCCAGGCCCAGGCCCGAGCUUUGACUGCUGCUGUGGCCUCUGCAGAGCCCAGUGCCAAGCCCCAAGGGCUGCCGGACCCGGCGUUAGCGGCUCUCCCAACAUCCUGCCCCGAAGGCCUGGCUUGGCCUAACCUGCCCACUCGAGGUGUGGACAUGGAAUGGAAGCCUGGCCUUUCAGCGGUGGGGGCAGGCCUGAGGUCUGCGUGACCUGGGGGUGGUCAGCAGAGAAGCACCUAGAGCCUUGGUUCCCUGCCCCCACUGGGCAACCUUCUCAGGAGGAGGAGGAGGCGGCCCGGUGGUGCCUGCUCGACCCGCUGUGCACGCUGGCUCCUCUACGUUCUUCUCUCCUUUUCUCUCUGUUCUUUUCUUUCAUUCCCCUCCUCCCCAUCUCUAUUCCUCCAAUCUUGUCUUUUCCCAUUAUUUUUCUGGAGGUUCCUCCUGGCCUUUGUGUCUCUGGGCCACAUUCUUUUCCCUCUCCCCAUAUUGCUUCUCUUGGAAAACCACCCUUUGCCAACAAUAUAUUUGGGUUGGUUUUGAGUCUCUGCCCCCGUUCUCCACGUGCAUCCCUUUCUUCCCGGGGUCCCUGCUCUGAGGUCCCCCAGGCCUCGGCCCCUCCCCCACACCCCUCCCCCUCGGGCCUCAGCUUUCUCUUGACAGAUGGGAGGGCAGUGAGCACUCCCUCUUUAAAACAACAUUUAAUCGCCGUUUUCUGUUCUUGGACAUCAAAGCUGGGGCUUAGGCGCUGCGCUGGGGUCGCUGUGGUGUGGGCUCUGGGGGAGAGGAGGUGAGUGAAUAGGGGCCGGGCUGAAUGGGCUUUGUGUGGCCGCUGGGGUCUGCCUGCUUUACAUGCUCUUUGACCCAGAUAUGAUCUCAUGGAGAGAAAGGGGCCCUGGCCGGGCCAGCCUGAGAACGUUCUGGGGCCGGACUCCGUCCCUACCCUCCCGCCCCUGACAGCCCCGGCCCCUCUGCCCUCUGCCCCAGCCUACGGGCCAGGGGCCUUCCACGGGGGGGCGCUCUGCUGGGGUCAGAAGAGGGGCCAGGCCGCCGAGGGAGGGGCUCCCUCCAGACCCAGAGUGUUUCUCCCAUGGUGAGCUGCGAGCCCCCGACACACGCACAGUGGCCCUUCUCGGCGGAGGCUGCUGGGUUCAGGUGGGCAUUCGGGUCACAUCGUCCCCGCCAUAACAGCUGUCUUCCCAGCCGCACUGGAGGGCUGCCCCCCUGCCAACGGCGGGAGGGCAGGGGCCAGGAGCCAGCGGAGACUUGCUAGAAAUUCAAGCAAGUUGUGGCGGGUAAGAAGAGGCAGAUGGCGAGCAAGGUCCGAGGCCAGGCCGUCUGUGUCCAGCUUAGCAUCCCCAGGCCUCCCCACCUGCCUUCCUGGGGAGCCCCUCGCCCCUCCCACCAGGACAGGGAGGGGGCAGAGGAGGCCUGACCCCAGGUGCUCUGCCUCCCUCUGUUCUAUCCUCUGUUUUGCUGCAGCCAGAGGGAUUUUCCAGAUAUGCAGAUAGCAUCAUGUCACCCCCUCAAUGAAAGUGCCCAGUGGGGACUCUUAGGAUGGAGUUCAAGCUCCUUAACAAGGCUUAUGGUGCCUUCAGGGCAUCGAGCCCCUGGGCUCACCACCCCAGCCCUGUCUUGGGACCACUCCCACAGUCUAUGGCUGCCCCCUACUCUGUGCUCCAGACAACUGGGCCAUGGGGGGGGGGGGCGGUGGUGGCGGUGUUCCUGGAAGACACUGGGCUCCGCCCCCUGGUGGGCCUUUGCACAUGCUGUAUCCUCUUCUGGGAACUGUGCCUGCGUGCACGCAGCCCUUCAGUCUGGCUGUCUCACCAUCUCAUUUUCAGGUCUCGCUGAAACCUCACCUCUCGCAGGAAACCUUCCCCAGAAUAGGGUGCCGUACCGUGCACAGCCUCCACGGGACGGUUGUGGGUCCCGCACUGCCAUCACCGCCUUUUUUCACUCUCGCCAUCAAGCCAACGUUGAGCUCCUUGGAGGCUGGAAUUGUGCGUUGUGUAUCUUCGUAUUUGCAGAUCCUGGUGCUGGCCGGCACACGCCGGGAACCCAGUAAAUCUUUGUGGAGUAAACUGAUGGAAGGCAGGGAGAAAGCAGGAGAGAGGCAGUUAGCAUCUGGGGCUGAGGUUGUGGGCGCCAGGGCCGGGCAGAAUCGAAGUAGGUGCACAGCACCUGCCCGCCGGGGCACCUCCACACGCGUGCCUGCCACGGGCUGUGAGGCACCUCCUGCUUCCUCUCGCAGGUGCCCGUCCGUUCAUGGAGACACCUCAACCGUGACUCCCAGGGGAGUGCAAAGGGCGGUGCAGCAGCCCAGGACACCUCGCUGAGCAUUUUCGGGGUGUGUGCGCGUAGACACCGGCUCCGUGGCCCAGAUGGGGACCGACCACCCCCCAGACGGGGACCGACCACCCCCUAGCUGUUUGUGCAGUGCUGGGUCCAGCCCCACUCUCGGCACUCCGCCCCUGCCCCCUGGGGGCUGGCUGCCGGGCCCGGCUCCUCUCCGGGCUGUGUUUUCUGCUCUCCAGGGGGUGCCUCAGUGAAAGUGAACUCACUCAUUUAAACCCUGUCGCUGCAGGCCUGCCGCCCCCCGCGGCGCUAAUUACCCUGUAGUUCUAAACUGAUUGCUGUACACUAAGCUUAAGCCCUCCUUUAUUUAUUUACUGACUACAUUAAUAGCAAAGCCGCUGCUUUUAGCCGCUCCCCACUGUACGCCGGCUGGCUGCACCCACUUUCCUCUGCGUCCCCUCUGGGAGGCGGGGUGCAGAGGUGCAGCCGGGCAUGGAGCCCCCUGGGUCUGCCACCGUCAUGGAGUCCGCGGGGCUCAACAGCAGUGAGAACAAUGGCCUUUGUCCAUAGAGACUCCCAGGCCCAAGGGAGGGGGCUCUGUCUCUGGUUCUGACUCUAAGGUAGAGAGGAGAGCACGCAACACAGCCCAGCUCAGCUCCCCCCACUGCCAGGAUCUUCUGUUCAGAGGACACUCCGGAGCUUGCCUUGGGCUUUCACACCUCCCAUGAGGUGCUGAGCACUGGCUGCGUUUAGCAGGUGGGUAAACUGAGGCAAUGGCUCGACGGCUGUCGGUGGUGACGGUAGGGCUUGAAGCCAAGACUUCCCACUCCAUGAGCCUUGCCCUUAUCCCUCCGGCAAGCUGCCUGUCCCAAUGUCCUCCCCCUCCUGGCCCCAGCCAACCUGGUCUGACAAGAUCCCUUUACCCUUAGGUCCUCACAACUUCCACGCCUUGCCAUGAGGAAAGAAGCCUGUGGAACGCACAUCUCUAUCUCCCAGCCUUUUCUGCCUCCUUCACGUGCUUGCCCAGAAUUUGCUGGAAACAUGGACCCUAGAGCCUUUCCUAGGGCAGACCUUAACCACACCCCCAGCUCCUUCCAGGAUUCACACUGGGCAAGUCUGGGGUGUACGGGCCAGCUGUGUGUUUCCACGGGGUAGCGUCUGCCUGUUCCCUCAUUCCGGGGCCAGCAGAGCCCAUGGCCAAGCUGGCUAGCAUCGCCUGCUUCUGAGUGCCCUCAGGUCCUGUGCGGCAGAUCUGGGCACCGGGCACGGCGGCGUUCUGAAGACCAGAUGGGCACCAUCAGGGUGCAGCUUAUGGACCCGUGGAAUAAAGCACUCAGGCUUGACUUUGAUUUGAAAUAGCGGGGUGAGUGUUGUGGGGACACCCCUCUAAGGAAGUGGGGGUCCAGCAGAAAGAACAUGGGGCUCAGAGUCAAGAGGACCUGCAUCUGCGGCCGGCUCUGCCCCUCACUGUUUGACCUUGGCUGCAAUGCAGAACCGCUCCAAGGUCCCCUCUGUCGACUGUAAAAUGGGGUACAGUAAUAUCUGCUCCUUUUACCCUUGGGAAAAUCAUCAGCUGGAGGAAGGUGCAUGUUCAGCUAAAAAAGCCUGUGCUGUAAAAAUGAAAAUUAUAAAUGGGGGGCAGGUUCAAGGCUGGUAUGGGAGGGGAGCCGAUGGCCCAGACUUUCAAUUUCCAGGACAGGAGCCCCCACAGCCAGGACUCAGGAGCCCGGGGGGUCUGCAGCAGAAUCCUGGGCUGGCAUUGCUGGGACUCUAUCGCCACCCAGUGGGCACAGGCUGCAGGUGCUUCUUGCUUGGGUGGGUCUGCAAAGGGACUGAGAAGUGUCCCGUUGUAAGCGGUUUGGGCUCCCCUGGGUCUUGGGCUGGAUAAAGGGAGGGUGUGGUCCAGGCUCACAUCAGAGAAAGAACAGCUUUAACUACUUGGGAGUUCAGACGGACUUUCCAGAAGGUGUCCUGAGUCAAUAUUUCGAUCCUGACCCAUUUUAAUCCUACCUUUGCCCCCACUGACCGAUGGCUCAUACCCAGUCCAACUCUUUCCAUUCCUAAGAGGCUGGAUUGGAAGAUGCAUGUCAGCCAAGGCAUCCACAGGGCCUCAUCUUACAUGGGGGAAGGCCGGCCUCGUUGGAAUCCAGCUCUUCAAAACCUUCACUCCGGGGAAUGCAGGGUGGCACGAUUUUCUCAAUGCCCAGGUCUGGCUCACGGAGAGGGGACAGCAAGAGGCUGCCUUUCGGGCACCUCCGGCCGUCUUAAAUGAAUGCAACUAAAUGGUUUGGAAGACCCCUCCUGACACUGGGCUUCUGACCGUGACUCCUCAAUGCAAAGGCUACGUCGGGCUUCUUAACACCUGUUAGCACUUGGAAAAGCAACAGUUCACUCCUGGGUUUCUCCCUCUGCCUAGCCGCUGCGGUCUUCAGCUUAAGUGGGCUUCUAGCGACACCGCGUGGUGGCGACUGGGAAAUGCAUGCGUGAAACACAGCUGAGAUCAGGUUGGAAUAUUUAAAUUAGACUUCUCUGAAGUCUCAAGGACAACAAAAGAAAAUAAGCACCAAGAACAACACAACAGGAGCUCAGCUCUCUGCCCGCUCACCUUCUGGAGAUGGGGCCAUCGUUAAUCCCUGCCACCCCACGUCUCCAGGAAGACCAACAAGGACAGACCCCGAGUGACUGAGCGACGAGUCCUCCUGUCCAAGCUCCUUACAGCCAGUCUCUUACGAAGUUUCCAGCUGUGUCUGCUUAGCCCAGUUCCUGACAGAAACUGACAGGGGGCACCAGGUAAGGCUUAAAUUGUGUUUCCCCCAAAAGAUACAUCAAAGUUCAGGGGCGCCUGGGUGGCUCAGUGGGUUAAGCCAUUGCCUUUGGCUCAGGUCAUGAUCUCAGGGUCUUGGGAUCCAGUCCCACAUUGGGCUCUCUGCUCAGCAGGGAGCCUGCUUCUCUCUCUCUCUCUCUCUCUCUCUGCCUGCCUCUCUGCCUACUUGUGAUCUCUCUCUGUCAAAUAAAUAAAUAAAAUCUUAAAAAAAAAAAGAUACAUCAAAGUUCAAACCCCUAAUACUUCUGAACAUGACCUUUAUUUGGAAAUAGGGUUUUUCAAGCAGUAGUAAAAUGAAAAUGAGAUCAUUGUCAUGGGUCAUAAUCCAAUAUAAAUGGUGUCCUUCUAAAAAGGGGAAAUUGGACACAGAAUGAAGCUAUGUGAAGAUAAAGGGAGAGAUCAAGGUGAUACAUCUAGAAACCAAGCAAUGUGAAAAGUUGACAGCAGCCAGACAGCGGGUCGGGGGGGACAGAUUCUUGCCCACUGCCCUCGGAAGAAACUAACACUCUGUCACUUUGAUCUCAGGCUUUUGGCCACCAGAACUGGGGAGAAUAAGUUUCUCUUGUAGGAGACCACCCCAGUUUGCGGUACUUUUUUACCCCAGCCCUAGCAAACAAAUGCACACCCACAUAGACUUUGCUAUGACUCCCUCCUGUCUGGUGCUGGCCCCACAUGUUCCAUUUGGUUUAUAGCUCCAAACCCUGAUCUUUGCCUUCUCAGCUCAGCAGGAUGGCUGGACUCUUCUUGGGUUCCAUCUUUUUGUGCUCUCAUCAGGAAAGCGCCCCCAGGCGGACAGCUGAUGGAGGCUGGGCUCAAGUCAUGGGACUGCAGUGGUGGGCUGCCUGUCGUCCAAUGCCUGAACGCAGCGCUGUCACACAUUUGGUCCAGUUCAGUAGUUUUUACGUCGAAAGGCCAUUCUAGUAUUUGUUACUCUGUCAUGGCCAGAAGUGAAAUUCCUGUCCUAAAUUUUUGAGUUAUUUAUUUUGAAUAAAUUAUUUGAACUCAUUUACUUCUCUUGAUGCCUCUGUGAAGUAGAUCAUUAACAUCAUGAGCUCCAGAUUAAAAAGGAAAAAAAAAGAUUAAAUCACUGGAGCCCCUGGGUGGCUCAAAUGAUUGAGCAUCUGCCUUUGGCUCAGGUCAUGUUCUUGGGGUCCUGGGAUCGAAUCCCAUAUUGGGCCCCCUGCUCAGUGGGGAGCCUGCCUCUGCCUUUCUCUCUCUCUCUGUCUCUCAUGAAUUAAAACAAAAUCUUUAAAAAGAAAAAAGGAUCAGGGGCGCCUGGGUGACUCAGUGGGUUAAGCCUCUGCCUUCGGCUUAGGUCAUGAUCUCAGGGUCCUGGGAUCGAGCCCCACAUCGGGCUCUCUGCUCAGCAGGAAUCCUGCUUCCUCCUCUUUCUCUGCCUGGCCUCUCUGCCUACUUGUGUUCUCUGUCAAAUAAAUAAAUAAAAUCUUUAAAAUAAAAAAAGAAAAAGGGAUCCAAUAACUAUAACUUGUCCAAGGAUAUAUGUUAUAAAUGCUGGAGGUAGACUUUGAACCCAGGCAGUUUAGCUGUGGAAUCCUUGCUCUUCAGUAUUAACCUGUGAUCCCACAUAACAGGUGCUCAACAGAUGCACUUUGAUGAAGGAGUGGAUGGUUGUCUCUUCUGCUUCGUUGCCCAUUUACCUGACCUUCCACCUGCCUGGGAAAAUCCCAACAUCACAUCAACUAGUACGUUCACUUCUCUUCUGCCGAGACCAAACUCUCACAGAGUUAUCUGGGCCUUUGAAAACACCUCACAGCUUUCCCUUGUCUUUGCCUUCCAUUGGCUGUUGGUUCUGCCUUGAAUCUCAAACACCUGUACCUCUCUCCUCAUUUUCAGGAAAAACACAAUUUCCAGCUGCGAACGCUCAGAUUCCCACUCAAUUCUCUAGAUUUGACUUGCUUUGGCACCUACCCUUGCCUUUUGCUCUACUGUCAAAAUAUUUAGCGUUUCUUUCUCUUGUCUAAGGCAUAUCCAUGUGCGGCUGCUGCUUCAUGCCUUUCUUCCCCUUCCACACUCAGUGUGGAAGUGUUGUUUCUCUUUCCUCCUCACCCUCCCACCUCCGGCUCACUCCCUCGACUCCAAUCUGGCGUCUGUACUCGUCCCCUGUUCACCUGUUAAUGUUGGCUUUCCUGUUAUUAACCAUAUCUUGAUGCUUUCUUUAAAUACAUUUGCUAUCAUUUUAACUUUUUGAUCUGGAUCCCUAAUUUAUUAUUUUUUACCGUUCACUCAUAUCAAUAUUUAAGCUCACGAAUUUCCUUUUUUUUUAAAAAAAACCCUUAUUUUAUUUAAAUUCAAUUAGUUAACAUAUGGUGUAUCAUUAGUUUCAGAUGUAAAAUUCAGUUAUUCAUCUGUUGCAUAUAAUACCCAGUGUCCCCUUUAUUUGCACUAAGUCAAGACAGGUCUCUUCAUCUCUUUGUGUUCUUAAUUCUCUGCUUUUAUUCAUAAUAGGAUACGAAUUUCUUUCUGCUGGGCGUCUUCUAGAUUCUCCCCUGUGGUACUGUUUUCUAUAUAUUUCUAAAUUUUUGUUUUCCUUUCCUCAUUGAUCCAAGUAUUUAAGAGAAAAUUUUAGAAUUUCCGUGUGGUAGAGUGUCUUUUUUCCCCUCUUUGGUUUUCUAAUGAAUAUCUGUUUUAUGGCAUUUUUAAAAAAUAUUUUAUUUAUUUAUUUGACAGACAGAGAUCACAAGUAGGCAGAGAGGCAGUCAGAGAGAGAGGGAGAAGCAGGCUCCCUGCUGAGCAGAGAGCCUGAUGCGGGACUCUAUCCCAGGACCCUGGGAUCAUGACCUGAGCUGAAGGCAGAGGCUUUAACCCACUGAGCCACCCAGGUGCCCCUGUUUUAUUGCAUUUUAAUCAAUACUUUAUUUUAUAUUAUUUCUACUUUGGGGAAGUUUUAUAAUUUCUCUGUUGUUUUAUAUACAGUGAAUUCUUGAAUAUUCCAUGGAUAGCUUUAGCAAAAAGUAUACUUCGUGUUUUCAGACUCAAGAGCUCAAUGUAUCAAUCAGCUAAGUUUGUGUUAUUAGUUACAUUUUAAUUUUUCUCCAUCUUGGGGCACCUGGAUGGCUCAGUUGGUUGGGCGACUGCCUUCGGCUCGGGUCAUGAUCCUGGAGUCCUGGGAUGGAGUCCUGCAUUGGGCUCCCUGCUCAGCAGGGAGUCUGCUUCUCUGCUUCUCCCACUGACCUUUCUCCUCUCAUGCUCUCUCUCUCUCAAAUAAAUAAAAUCUUAAAAAAAAUUUUUUUCUCCAUCUUUCUUUAUGAAAGAAAAGUUGAACAUAGCAAAUUAUGCCCUUUCCCUGAGUAUGGGCUGGGAAGCGUUGGGACACCAGACGUGUCCCUGCUCUCAGUGUGAUGCCAAAGCAGAGGGACUGUUACUAUGGUUGCUUCAUGGAUCAGAGCACCCUGAGCAGUGGGAGAGGGAUUUCCCUCCCUCCUGUGUGGGGAACAGUAAUGGGGCAGACGGAGAGAUACAGGCAUGGAGGUUGCAUAAAGAGGAUGUUGUAACACUUGUUAGUCAGUGAUCUGGGACCACAUUAUGCAAUGGAAUCUUCGUAGGUGCCAGCAGCGUAGACCAAUGCCUGCUCCCCUGCGCCCGCCCCCACAUAAAUUCCCCACUCCCACCACACCCCCACUUUCUUGGAAGAAAGCCUCCAAGUAACUGAGAUUUAAUGUCUACUACCCAUUUGAAUGGAACUUGAAGAAAUUCAGUUCAGUUAAAGAACAGUUAUUUUUUGCUUGUUCAUUCCGCAUCUGUACCUCUGGCUCAGAUCUCUCUGUGUGUUCUAGACUUCUAUCCAGGUCACACUAGGUUUUUCAGCCUCAGGCUGAGCGUGCUCCAAACUAAACUCAUCUCUACUCCUUGUCUCAUCCUCUCUCCUCAACUAAAACCUGCUCUUCCUAUCUUCCCUGUUUGACUAAACCUUGUCCACCUCUAGGAAGUCGUCUGGGGCAGAAACCAGGUAUCAUGUGAGGGGAUGUAGUUCAGAAAAUGCUAAGGGUCAAAAACAGACCAAGGCACAGCCAUCCCAUCAGCCACCACAUAUACUGGACAUUCGCAGGUGAGUUCUUUAAAAACUGGGCAUGCUUUUAAAAUAGUUUGAAAACUACUGUAGGAGAGGAUGCGAUAUAGCAGAGCAGAAGAGAGAAGAGCCUAGAAUCCUUCCCAUACAAGCCAAAGCCACUGAAAAUCCUGGGGUUUGGGGUAGGGUGGAGAAUGGGGUCCACUGCAGGACAGGGGAGCUGGAGAAGAGGUUGGGAGCUGCUAAGUGCGGCAGAGGUGAAUGGUCAAAGGGAAGAGGGUUCAGGGGACAUUUUUCAUUGGUUGUUCUGGUCUUUAUUCAAGUAUUUGAGGGCAGGCAAAGAGCCUGAGCCUGAGUUUCAUCAAGAAGGACCGAGGACAUCAGACUGUCUGCUCCUUCCUGGACAAAGCUCAUGAUUCUCCGUGGCUCUCCAGGAAUCCACGGUGGGGCUGGAUGUCGACCAGAUGUAUUUUGAAUCCACAGCCUACCUGGGCCACUUCAAGAUGGCCAGAGCCCCGUGGGUGAUAAGUUCCUCCAUUUUCUGCUAAAAGACUGCAACAUCACUUUUAAAUCAGGUGCUGGUCUCCUUGAACCCUGGAAGAGGUUUGUGGGAGGAAGAGUGGGCGUGCAGAUUUUAAGUGAGAUGCUGGUCUUCUUCAACCCUAGGCCAAGUUUAGUGUCAGAGUGGGAGAGGGUAGCUAGACAGCUGGUGGGAACUCUGGACCUGGAGAUAAUGUGGAACUGCCUGAUAGGCUGAUUUUAGAUACUAGGUGGGAUGCCCUAAACCUUUCUGAGGCCUCUGGGUCAAGAUUUUCUCCUCCCAUAAAGUCAAAGAGCUGUGGUCCUUGAUGGCCCUGAGUAGCCCUGUCUUCUCCCUAUCCCUGCCAAAAAGAAGCAGCAAGGGGCAUCAGAAAGUGGAGGAAGGCUCUUUCCAAGUUCAGCGCAGGAACCUUUCGCUUUGUAUGAUUACCACUGUGGCCCGGGAACGCAUCGUGCCUCCGUGCCUCGCAGAUUUGCCCCUAGGGGAAGAACGGUGCUUGGCAGGCUGGAUCAUUAACAUCAAAUAAUGGGUCUCUUUUCAUGAUUCACAUGAGAAGGAAACAUAACCCCAUGGCUAGAAUUUCCCCAAUGAACAAUCUCCUGCUAUCAAAUUUACUGAAACCUUUGAUGAGAUGCUUGCCUCCAUUUUCUGCCAAGGUAGGCUACAGGUAACACAAGCAAAGGGGAAACAAACAAAAUGUGGCAGCAGAAUCCAAGAGCAGGUGAGCGGGCCUCGUUCAGUAAUAGGUCAGGACCCCCUGGUCCUGCCACACUGUUGUUCAUCUUGGAAGCCCCUCGCCGGGUCCAAAUGCUACUGCUAAUUUAGGUUAACCCAGGCUCUCCCUGGCUGGAGAGAAGGCCAGAUGGGAAGUGGAGACCAAGAUGUGGGUAGGCUUAUAUUCUCCUUUUAGUCCUGCUAAGAAAGUUUCUGGGAAUACAGGCGGUGCUCAAUGAAUGUUUGCUGACUGCUCUUUGGAAUGUUACG